GGGAGUGUGGCUCAGUGGUAGAGCACUUGCACCCAAGAGGCCCUGGGUUCAACUCCCAUCACUGCUG
rnacentral:tRNA from 1 species